rnacentral:rRNA from 1 species
GGAUAACCUGCCCUUGGGUCCGGCAUAACCCCGGGAAACUGGGGAUAAUUCCGGAUAACGCAUAUGUGCUGGAAUGCUUUAUGCGUAAAAUGGAUUCGUCUGCCCAAGGAUGGGUCUGCGGCCUAUCAGGUAGUAGUGGGUGUAAUGUACCUACUAGCCGACAACGGGUACGGGUUGUGAGAACUAAGAGCCCGGAGAUGGAUUCUGAGACAUGAAUCCAGGCCCUACGGGGCGCAGCAGGCGCGAAAACUUUACAAUGCGGGAAACCGUGAUAAGCUGGACACCGAGUGCCAGCGUCAUACGCUGGCUGUCCAGAUGUGUAAAAUACAUCUGUUAGCAAGGGCCGGGCAAGACCGGUGCCAGCCGCCGCGGUAACACCGGCGGCCCGAGUGGUGAUCGUGAUUAUUGGGUCUAAAGGGUCCGUAGCCGGUUUGGUCAGUCCUCCGGGAAAUCUGAUAGCUUAACUGUUAGGCUUUCGGGGGAUACUGCCAGACUUGGAACCGGGAGAGGUAAGAGGUACUACAGGGGUAGGAGUGAAAUCUUGUAAUCCCUGUGGGACCACCUGUGGCGAAGGCGUCUUACCAGAACGGGUUUCGACGGUGAGGGACGAAAGCUGGGGGCACGAAACCGGAUUAGAUNCCCGGGUAGUCCCAGCCCGUAAACGAUGCUCGCUAGGUGUCANGCAUGGCGCGACCGUGUCUUGGUGCCCCAGGGAAACCCGUGAAGCGAGCCACCUGGGGNAGUCCGGCCCCANNGCUUNAAACUUUAA